AUGGCGCCGCGCGAUGGAGUUAUCUUUGCUAAUCUAUGUGGCUUCUCCCAUGUGAUCAUGGAAAUAGACUGCCUAGAGAUUGUUAAUCUCUGGAACACUCGUCACAAUAGCCUUUCUGUUGCGGCUCCUUUACUUUUAGAAAUUGGAGAGCUAGUUGUCUCCUUUUCUUCUUUUGUUAUUCAACAUGUAAGUAGAUCAGCCAAUGUUCCGGCCCACCUUUGUGCUAAACAUGCAUGCACAUCGAUGGUCACCGAAAGUUGGACUGGAUCUAGACCAUCUUUCCUACUCACCAGCCUCUCGGCUGAUGAUCCUAGGAGUUCUUUCGUUAAAUAA
rnacentral:rRNA from 1 species